CCUACGGGAGGCAGCAGUGGGGAAUAUUGGACAAUGGGCGAGAGCCUGAUCCAGUAAUGCCGCGUGAGUGAUGAAGGCCUUAGGGUUGUAAAGCUCUUUUACCCGGGAUGAUAAUGACAGUACCGGGAGAAUAAGCUCCGGCUAACUCCGUGCCAGCAGCCGCGGUAAU
rnacentral:rRNA from 1 species